AUUGAACGCUGGCGGAAUGCUUUACACAUGCAAGUCGAACGGCAGCACGGACUUCGGUCUGGUGGCGAGUGGCGAACGGGUGAGUAACAUAUCGGAACGUAUCCAAUAAUGGGGGAUAACGAGUCGAAAGAUUCGCUAAUACCGCAUACGCCCUACGGGGGAAAGCUGGGGACCUUCGGGCCUGGCGUUAAUGGAGCGGCCGAUAUCUGAUUAGCUAGUUGGUGAGGUAAAGGCUCACCAAGGCGACGAUCAGUAGCUGGUCUGAGAGGACGACCAGCCACACUGGAACGAAGACACGGUCCAGACUCCUACGGGAGGCAGCAGUGGGGAAUUUUGGACAAUGGGCGCAAGCCUGAUCCAGCAUUCCGCGUGAGUGAAGAAGGCCUUCGGGUUGUAAAGCUCUUUCGCAAGGGAAGAAAACUUAGCCACUAACAUUGGUUGAGGUUGACGGUACCUUGAUAAGAAGCACCGGCUAACUACGUGCCAGCCGCCGCGGUAA
rnacentral:rRNA from 1 species